rnacentral:rRNA from 1 species
UUCGCCUCGGGAGGGGCUCAUGUAGUAUUAGCUAGUUGGUAAGGUAACGGCUUACCAAGGCAAAGAUGCUUAGCGGGUGUGAGAGCACGACCCGCGCCACUGGCACUGAGACACUGGCCAGACUCCUACGGGAGGCUGCAGUCGAGGAUCUUCGGCAAUGGGCGCAAGCCUGACCGAGCGACGCCGCGUGUGCGAAGAAGGCCUUCGGGUUGUAAAGCACUGUCGAGGGGAAGAAAGACCGUAAGGUUUGAUCGACCCCUGGAGGAAGCACGGGCUAAGUUCGUGCCAGCAGCCGCGGUAAGACGAACCGUGCGAACGUUGUUCGGAAUCACUGGGUUUAAAGGGCGCGUAGGCGGGCUGUCAAGUCGGUGGUGGAAUCUUUCGGCUCAACCGGAAAAUCGCCUUCGAUACUGGCGGCCUUGAGGGGGGUAGGGGCAUGCGGAACUUCCGGUGGAGCGGUGAAAUGCGUAGAUAUCGGAAGGAACACCGAUGGCGAAAGCAGCGUGCUGGACCUUUUCUGACGCUGAGGCGCGAAAGCCAGGGGAGCAAACGGGAUUAGAUACCCCGGUAGUCCUGGCCCUAAACGAUGGGUACUGGGUUGUGGACUGGACAUGGGUUCACAGCCGCAGCAAAAGUGUUAAGUACCCCACCUGGGGAGUAUGGUCGCAAGGCUGAAACUCAAAGGAAUUGACGGAAUCGA